UACAGAGGUCUCAAGCGUUGUUCGGAUUCAUUGGGCGUAAAGGGUGUGUAGGUGGCGCCGUAAGUCGGGUGUGAAAUUUCGGAGCUUAACCUACCGAAACUGCAUUCGAUACGUGCUGGUGGCUUGAGGACUGGAGAGGAGACUGGAAUUCAUGGUGAGCAGUGAAAUGCGUAGAGAUCAUGAGGAAGACCAGUGGCGAAGGCGGGUCUCUGGACAGUUCCUGACACUGAGACACGAAGGCCAGGGGAGCAAACGGG
rnacentral:rRNA from 1 species